GCCAGCCUUAGAUUUACCUCCACGGGAUAGUGGUCGCUGAUUUCUAGGGCCUGUGGAUUGGAGAGGAGAGGCUGCUGGUGAUCCAAAUCUCAUUGCUUGUGCACCAGCCGUCCCUGGGGUUUGUGCAACUGCAUUAGGGUUGCCUGUCUCCGUGGAAUUACAGCCACCCUGCCCUAUGCCCCCUCCCCAGGAAUUCCCAACCUCCAGGAAUUUCCUAGCCCUGAACUGACUCUGCAUUUGUUAGGAGGAUGACCCGAUCAACUCACCUCUUCUUCAGAGAGCCCAAGCGCAUGGGUGAAAUUGAAGGGCUUGGCUGACCUGGCCACGACAGCGCGGAGUAACUCUUCCCCGUGGACAAUGAUUCUAACAGAACACAGAAGAGGGUCAGCAGGCACGCAACUGGAUCCAUGCCCAGUCCCCAGCAAGACGGGAACGGAUCUGUGUUGCUUGGAGGCCAAUUGUAAUUCCAGAUUUCUCCAGCCACCUCCCGGAAGCUGCUAACCCUACGUCACAGGCAGAAAUGUUAGAAAGAGUGGUCACUACAGUCUCGGUGCUAGCGCUGACCUCAGAAUCUCAGGAGAAGGCAGUAAAGUUUCCUCCCCACCACCUCUGAGUACCACUGAAUUCACUGUGUAUGAACUACAUGAACUUAGGAAGCCCAGGUAGCUGUAGCGAUGGGAGUGAUCAUACCUGCUGGCCGGAAGAGAAAGCCCAUGAUGCCCCUUCGCCUACCCCGACCUCUCCUAGAAGUGGGAAGAGAAUCCAAGGUUACUACAACCUAUGACCUCAAAGUUACCAAAGAGGCCCCAGAGAUGGCACAUUGCUACCAGUGGCAGGAAAAAUGUAACUCAAACAAUUGUGUAUGUGUUGUCUUAUGUUGAUUCCAGCAGGUGACUGAGGUAAUUGAGAAGCAGAGGAAGUUUGCUGUUGCCUUCCUCUGCAUAGCCCUCCUUGGUAGUCUCCCAUCUGAGUACUGAGGCUGCUUAUCUUCUGAGAUCUGAUGACAUCAGGUUAUAUAAUGCCACUUUCUCAGGGACAGGAAAACUAACAGCGAUUGGGCUUUCUAGUGAAAAUUUUGAAAUCAUGGUUGAAGUAGCUAAAUUUGCUUGGAUUGCAUUCAAAAGCAGGAACAUAAGGAACAACUGAUAGUUGUUGCCAUUAUGUUGCCAUUAAAGUGGACCUAAUACUGUUUUAACCAAAUUGAUAGAGAAAUGUAAUGUUAUUGAUUAGGAUCUGAGAUAGUUUUAUUUAAACUGAUUGUGUUAUAUCAGUAUAAAAGUGUUUGAUUUCAUAACUAUUUUAAUCAUGUAUUUUACUACUAAAUGUUAUUAGUGUUUGAGAAUAGUUGUUGGUUUUACCCAAAUUGGCUUUAAAGUUUUAACGGACAAUGUUAUAUUUAUUUCUCAGCUCUUAAGUCACCUAUUAUAUCUGCACAGUCAAUCAAAUUUCCAUGGCCAAUGAGGAGCCUUGCUGGACUGAAAGCCCCACCUGGCCCUGCCUCCUUUCUUAGAACACUUCGUGGUUGCUGCUGGGAAAGGUUUUGGCAGGUGCCAUAGUGCCCAGUGGCACAACAAUGGGGACCCCAGAUCUGCAGCUACCCAUGAAGCAGAAGGAGGUGGUAGAAUGAAUUAUAUCACUUCAAAAUGCAAGUAAAGAAUGUCACACACAGACACAUUAUUGGACUGAUCUGCUAUUUAAAACUUUGUUAGGAGAAAAACAUAAUGGGCAAAGGGUUCAAGAUCAGCCCACUCCUGAAGUGAAUAUGCAGAAGAAAUGGCUUCCUUACAGAGAAUUGUUGUACCAGAAUGAGAAAUGGGAGCUUAAACCACUAGAUGAAUUAAAGAUACAGUUGAAAAUUGAUUUCAUUAUUAUCAAUUACUAGAAACAUUCAAAGCAGACAACAAAAAUACAGGUUUUGCCACACAGAUGUCAAAGUUUAAAAGUAACUAUGUAUAAAUGAUGAUAAAUUGAAUACUAAAAUGUACAAGAUGUUAUUAAAGUGGGAUACUGAGGAAAGGGGAGUAAAAUCAGUGAUGGUAAAAUGGGAUAAAAUGUGGGGAGAAACAUACAAAUGGAACAAUGGGAAAGAUUGUGGAAAAAAGAUUUGAAAGAUUUGAA